AGUCAACGCUGGCGGCGUGCCUAACACAUGCAAGUCGAGCGAGAAAAGGGGGGCAACUCCCUGGGUACAGCGGCGCACGGGUGAGUAACACGUGGGUAAUCUGCCCUGGAGUGGGGAAUAACACCGGGAAACCGGUGCUAAUACCGCAUACGAUAACGAGGUCUGCGGAUCUUGUUAUGAAAGGAGCAAUUCGCUCCAGGAGGAGCCCGCGGCUGAUUAGCUAGUUGGUGAGGUAAUGGCUCACCAAGGCUACGAUCAGUAUCCGGUCUGAGAGGACGGUCGGACACACUGGAACUGAGACACGGUCCAGACUCCUACGGGAGGCAGCAGUGGGGAAUUUUUGGCAAUGGGGGAAACCCUGACCAAGCAACGCCGCGUGGGUGAUGAAGUCUCUUGGGACGUAAAACCCUUUCGACGGGGAAGAAACCGCAAGGUUGACGGUACCCGUAGAAGAAGCCCCGGCUAACUCCGUGCCAGCCGCCGCGGUAAAAC
rnacentral:rRNA from 1 species